rnacentral:rRNA from 1 species
UCCUACGGGAGGCAGCAGUGGGGAAUAUUGCACAAUGGGCGCAAGCCUGAUGCAGCGACGCCGCGUGGGGGAUGACGGCCUUCGGGUUGUAAACCCCUUUCGAUCACGACGAAGCGAGAGUGACGGUAGUGAUAGAAGAAGCACCGGCCAACUACGUGCCAGCAGCCGCGGUA